rnacentral:rRNA from 1 species
GACGAACGCUGGCGGCGUGCUUAACACAUGCAAGUCGAACGAAGCUUGAUUACGGUUUCUUCGGUUGCAGUAUGAUCUGACUGAGUGGCGGACGGUUGAUUAACUCGUUAGUAACCUGCCCUUCAGAGGGGGAUCGCGUUCUGAAACGAACGGAAAUAUCGAAUAAUGUAUUUCGAUCGCAUGAUCGGAAUUUCCAAGAUCUAUCGCAGAAGGAUGGACUCGCGUCUGAUUAGGUAGUUGGUGGGGUGAAGGCCUACCAAGCCGGCGAUCAGUCGCCGGACAGAGAGGAUGAGCGGCCAAAUUGGGAGUGAGGCACGGCCCAGACACCUACGGGAAGGAGCAGUAGGGAAUAGUGCACAAUCGGCGCAAGCCAGAAGCAGCAACGGCGCGUGAAGCAAGACGGUUAUCGGAUUGUAAACGUCUGUUCAUAGUGAAGAAUAAUGACGGUAGCUAAGGAGCAAGCCACGGCUAACUACGUG